CUUUCCGAGGACUUACUUUUAUAUAAAUGUCCAUCUUGAUAAGACCUCGGUUGACUUAUCACAUUAUCGAAUUUAUCUUAGAACUUACAUCAUCGCAUGUUGGCGAGAUGACGACCGAGUGGGACUUUACGCUUCAUGUGCGGAGAGAUGGUUUUGUCAAUACUAAAAAGUACCCGAAGACCGUGCCAGUGGUUUUGAUAUCCUGGGAGUGAGACUUGCUUUUUCCCCAUCACAAAUGGUAUCGCCGAUUAUGCUUGAAAAUAUCCUCAAUAAUGGUUAUUGAUAAGUAAUGAUGAUGGUUGAUGAGCUAUUCAUUCACUCGUUGGGCUUUGAAGCUGAGAUGAGUCUUGCACCAAGAUCACGCUUUACUUUCUGGGCUGUCGCGGAGCGGGAUGAAAUUUAAUCUUGGAGGGAAAAUAGUGAAGCUGAAAAAAUUUUAUAAGAAUAAUAAUGGGCAAAGAGACGUGUUGCAAAAUUGUACGUGAAAACGGCUUCCGACGAGGCUGUCUAAUUGUAAAUACAGAUGGAAAGUAUUUACCACAUCUGCCCUCCGUAAUAGCGGUCCUGGACAGCGAAUUAUUUCGUCCAGAUGUGUUUGAUGAUCAUAAUUUCCAAGUUAAUGGGUAAUUAACGCGCUUCAUCCUAAUUUCAUUACCAAAAUGAGGUGGAAUAAUUUUCGAGGCGCUGACACAUUCCAUCAAUGACAAUUUAGUCAGUUUAAUUACCCAAACGGCAGGUGUUCAGUGCAGCUAUUAUUCCAUAUAUUUUUGGAAACGAGGCAUUGGGAAAUAAUAAACAUAUUAAAACGGGUUACUCGGAAUUUUCCUCUACAUUUGACAUUUUAUAAUAUUUAAGUAUUCCCUAACAGAAUUAUUAUUGCUAUACAUUUUGCGAAUGUUCUAAUUUAACAGAAAGAUGUGUUGAAUAAGAAAACAAUUAUCAUUA